AGAGUUUGAUCCUGGCUCAGAACGAACGCUGGCGGCGUGCUUAACACAUGCAAGUCGAGUGCGCGUUUCCGUAGCAAUACGGGGAUGGCGCACGGCGCACGGGUGCGUAACACGUGGGCAAUCUGCCCUUCGAUGGGGAAUAACUCCGGGAAACCGAAGCUAAUUCCGCAUAACAUUCCUUGGACUUCGGUUCGAGGAUUCAAAGCCGUAAGGCGUCGAAGGAGGAGCCCGCGCCCGAUUAGCUAGUUGGUGAGGUAACGGCUCACCAAGGCAAUGAUCGGUAGCUGGUCUGAGAGGAUGGCCAGCCACACUGGAACUGAGACACGGUCCAGACUCCUACGGGAGGCAGCAGUGGGGAAUCUUGCGCAAUGGGCGAAAGCCUGACGCAGCGACGCCGCGUGGGGGAUGAAGCAUCUCGGUGUGUAAACCCCUUUCGACUGGGACGAAUGCCUCGCAAGAGGAGUGACGGUACCAGUAGAAGAAGCCCCGGCUAACUACGUGCCAGCAGCCGCGGUAAGACGUAGGGGGCCAGCGUUGUUCGGAAUUACUGGGUGUAAAGGGUUCGUAGGCGGUGUGGCAAGUCGGGAGUGAAAUCUAUGGGCUUAACUCAUAGGCUGCUUCCGAAACUGCUGUGCUUGAGUGUGGGAGAGGCGCGUGGAAUUGCAGGUGUAGCGGUGAAAUGCGUAGAUAUCUGCAGGAACACCCGUGGUGAAAGCGGCGCGCUGGACCACAACUGACGCUGAGGAACGAAAGCUAGGGGAGCAAACAGGAUUAGAUACCCUGGUAGUCCUAGCCCUAAACGAUCAGGACUUGGGGUGCCACCCG
rnacentral:rRNA from 1 species